UCAUUUGUAUCUAUCUAUUCCUCUUAAAGAGCAAACAUGUCUGGCCAAAAAAGGACUUGGCAGCAAGUCAAGAUUAAAUACAAGAAUAUUUUGCAGGCUGGUAAGUGACUUGUUUGCGGAGAACAUAGGUGACAUGUUUGAUGACAUUUUACUGUCUGUGCUGAUUUUAGCAAUAAAAAAAAAGUCAUAUAUCUGGUACGGGGGGUGGCCCUCCAACCCAAGACUUCACCACAGCAGAGGAGCUGGCCUUGGACUUAAAUAAAGGGAGGCCAGUGAUUGAAGGGAUCCAGGGAGGGACAGCCACUGACUCUGGCCCAGCAAGGGAUACUGGCCUCCUCCUACAAGUGGCUGGUAACACCCUUACACUUUUGGAGCCACCAGACUAUAAUUCAUCGAGGGAAGCCACAUCUACAGCAGCGGAGUGCACUUCUGCCGAUGAUGAGACCGUGUCGCUGGACUCCAAAAGGCUCGAGGUAUCAUGUCAAUUUUGUGGAAAUAGACACAUUUUUUUUUUAAGUUCACAAUAGAUAAAAAGUCAGGGAAGUGGUACUAAUAGAAAAUAUCAUUUGUUACAGGAUCCUGACAUUGGGCAGCCUGAUAAGCAGCCUGGUAACAUAGUGAGUAUUGCCUACAGUAAAUUUACAUUAUGCACAAAUUCUGCAAUGCUAACUAAAAGGUGUUCACAGAGUUCACAAACUGUCAGAUAUCUCUACACAACACAUCUUAAGAGACAGAUCGAGCUGACAGAAGUCAAGAUUGAUGUGAACAAAAGAAAGCUGCAGGACAUGGACCUUGAGAUGCAAAUUAAACGAAAGACACUGAGGAAACUAGAACUAGAAAUCCAGAAACUAGAAAGAGAAGUAAGUGACUUCAGUUCAUACUGUAACCAUGACUGUAACACAAUGUAUUAAUCAUCAUCAUUUUUUCUCUCCAAAGCUCCAAGCUGACAAGUGAUAACAGCAAAAUAAUAAAAGAAAAAUA